rnacentral:rRNA from 1 species
UACUAUGAUAAAUCCCCUGAAGGCACCAGAUCCUGUCUGACCUUGGAAGCUAAGCAGGGUCAGCUCUGGUUAGUACUUGGAUGGGAGACAACCAACAAAUACCAGGUGUUGUAGGCA